GAGUAAAAGUCCAGAGUUUGCAUGACCCAUGCACCUCCCCUCCUACCCGCCUAAUCUAGACUUCCUUGCUUUUCAUACUACAGUAGUUACCUGGAGUGUUAGU